rnacentral:lncRNA from 1 species
GGAGAUGCUUUUAUUUUUUUUUAUCAAAUACCUUGAUAACCGUACAUUCACAAAAGUUUUGACAAACAAUCAUCAGUAAUAUGGAAACAUUGACUCAGUGGAUAAAGCCAAGUAUUAGAACAAGUCACACAGUCUGGAAAGUUCAGAAAAGUAUUUCAGUUUACUGUAAUGAAGCCUUUAAAACCAGGAAAAGCCUCAAUUUGUGUCAUAUAACGAUAUCCAAAAUCUAAGAGGAUGUAUAGUCUCCUUUCACGAUACCGAUAUAUAAUAUCUUUAUUCUUUAUUUGAGAAGAACGUUUAUUGUGUGUUACAUGAGUGUUGCCUUUGGUCAAGCCUGAAGCAGCUUAUACAUCCACUGUCUGAGCUACAUCCACCAACACAAGUGCAUCGAACAAACUGUUGAAGAUCAGUUGGCUUUAGAUCACAAUGGUUUUAUUUUCAGUGCAGUGCCUAAACUCAUGUAUCUUCAAUAGAGAUUAAAGAUGAAAACCUCCUCUCUCUCUCUCCUCCCCUCUUCUCUGUGAUCAGGUAAGGGGCGCGGGAAGAUGAAAAAGGGCGCCGUCCCUCGCCCUCCGCCGCUCCUCCUUGUCCAGGAUGCCGAGGCGGCUCUGGUGAGGCUGCAGGAGCGUGUUUCUGCUCUCCUCCUACGUAGCCGGGCGCCCUCUCCCCCCACCCCAACCCGCAGCCCCAGCGUUCUUCCAGGCCGGUGCAGUGCUGCCCCCCUCUGGCAGAAGAGCACACUGCUGGACGAGGGCUCCACCUGUGUGUCUGAUUUCUACACACCAGAGCUCAGAGGGUUCAUUACGCCGUGGGACCCUGCAACGACUGAAUUGGCCUCCUCCAGCACCGUCAACAAGUCUGCAGUCCAACCUGUGAGUGAAGGAACUCCCGUCACAGAAACCAGGGCCUCCAUCCUGCCAUCCUCCUCCCAGACCGCUGCCUCCUCGCCGGCUCCAUCCACCCCAGGGACAGGGCAUUUUUCAGUCGGAAGCCAGACACUCCGAGACCUGAUGGAGCUGGCUGAAGAUGGCAUGACUCUUACACAGCGUGGUUACACUGCUUCAGACCCUGACGGAGGUAACACACUCACAGAGAAGUCAUUUCUUAGGGAAGACGGAGUGCCUUUUCACUUUCUUUUGUAUUAACAAAAACCUUCCACAGAAGUGUUGUUUUGUUUUUGUGUGCUUAUUUUGAAUAUUUAAAAAGUAAAACCUAUAUUGCUCUUUACUUAUUUACAAGAAGCAUUUUAUGAGCCGUAGCAUGGAACCAAGAAAUAGUUUUGGAUUGUGUGUGUGACAUAAAAUCUAGGUGAAAAUCUCUUUCGAUCUGGUAAAGAGAAAAAAACGUGUUUAGUUUUUGGUAACAAUAAGUAUGAAAAUAUGGAGCCAUGAGUAUUAAAGACCUCUACAACAAUUUGUAAAUGUAAUGAGUGUAACCCAUGGGAGUAACAUGCCAGCUCAAAUUGUUGUGUCGUGACAUCACUGGUCAUCAGUUCUGGUCCUGAUUGUCUUUGUUCCCACAGAGAAAAGCACCCCUAUGACCACAAACCUUCACCUGAGCGGCUUCGUCCUGGAGGUGUCCGAAGAGCAGGCGGAACUCUGUGCGAGCAGCUUCCUACCAGAAAUGACACACGCACGCUUGGAUGAGACCCGCAGCCGAGCGAGCGGGGCGACGGAUCAACCACGACCAGAUAAAGAUCGAGGCAGCCACCGAUCAGUAAGACCUGUUGUCAUCACAGCUCUUCAGCUCUGACGUUUUUGACCCGGACACCUGGAUCUUUAUCAUUUGAAUCGCAUGAAAUCUAAUCAGAUGUUUCUCUGCAGAGUAACUUUUCUUCUUACUGUAUAACUUCUUUAAAUCUGUUAUAAACUGUUUGUUAGUCAGAAAUGACAGGUUUCCUCCUCACAUAAAAAGCCCAAAUAAUCAGAGGGAAAUCAUAUCGUUUACCAUGACAUGCCAAAUUUUUGUGUUUUUGUGUGACUUUAUCUCAUGACCGAGAUGAUUCUUACAGUGUAGAACGUCUUCUCUGGUGUGCCGGAUGUGUGCUGCCCUGACCCCAGUGUCUCCUGCUGGUGUUUCCUCUGUAGGUGGCGCUGUCCAGACUGGCAUCAGAUCUGAGCAGCAUGGUGAACAACCCUCAGCUCAGUGAUGUGCAGCUCCAGGUGGACAGUGGGGAGGUCUACUUUGCUCAUUCCUUCAUGGUGUACGCUCGCUGCCCCCUGCUGGCAGAAAUGGUAAUAUUGGCCCACUAAUACACAAACCAAGGACGCAUAAUAAAAAAGAAUUUAUACACUCUUCAUGUGGGAACUCUUUUCUGCUUUGUGUUGCAACUGCACCUAAACAAUGUCCCUCGGGUUAAUUAUAGUUCCAUCUUAUCUUAAGCCUAAAAUCUGUCACAAUACUGGAUUUUCAGCUCCUUUAACUAAGCCGAGCUUUCCAGUGGAUUUCAGUAAUUAGCAGUGAGUUGUGGACCUUAGUCCAAAAUUUCGUUCGGUUAAAGGAUGUGGGCUUUUGUACUGCAAGAAAAACAACAUCAGUGCUUUUACUUUGUUUGCAUUUAUUCUGCUCCUCUCUCAGGUACAUGAAAGUGGUA